GACGAACGCUGGCGGCGUGCUUAACACAUGCAAGUCGAACGGAAAGGCCCUGCUUUUGUGGGGUGCUCGAGUGGCGAACGGGUGAGUAACACGUGAGUAACCUGCCCUUGACUUUGGGAUAGCUUCAGGAAACUGGGGCUAAUACCGUAUAGGAGCUCCUGCUGCAUGGUGGGGGUUGGAAAGUUUCGGCGGUUGGGGAUGGACUCGCGGCUUAUCAGCUAGUUGGUUGGGGAGUGGCUUACCCAGGCUUUGGCGGAUAGCCGGCCUGAGAGGGUGACCGGCCACAUUGGGACUGAGAUACGGACCAGAGGGCAACGGGAGACAGCAGGGGCGAAUAUUGUACAGUGGGCGGAAGCCUGAUGCAGCAACGCCGCGUGCGGAAAGACGGCCUUCGGGGUGUAAACCGCUUUCGCCUGUGACGAAGCGUGAGUGACGGUAACGAGUAAAGAAGCACCGGCUAACUACGUG
rnacentral:rRNA from 1 species